rnacentral:rRNA from 1 species
UAAAUAGCCGCAGUACCCUGACUGUGCAAAGGUAGCAUAAUCAUUUGUCUUAUAAUUAAAGUCUGGCAUGAAAGAACUAAUGGGGAAAAACUGUCUUCUUUAGUUAUAGAAAUAAUUACUUAGUAAGUGAAAAUCCUAUACAAUAUGAUAAAGACGAAAAGACCCUAAAAAUUUUUUUCAAAGAAAUUAAUAAGUCCAUAAAAUUUUGUUGGGGCGACAGAAUGGCAUAAAACUUAUUUUAUUUAAUUAGGACAAMAUAAUGAGGUACCCCGAGUUACUCUAGGGAUAACAGCAUGAUAAAAAGGAGUUUGUGACCUCGAUGUUGGACUAGGCCUASCGAGUAUAA